rnacentral:rRNA from 1 species
ACGGAAGGCAGCAGUGGGGAAUAUUGCACAAUGGGGGAAACCCUGAUGCAGCGACGCCGCGUGAGUGAAGAAGUAUUUCGGUAUGUAAAGCUCUAUCAGCAGGAAAGAAAAUGACGGUACCUGACUAAGAAGCCCCGGCUAACUACGUGCCAGCAGCCGCGGUAAUACGUAGGGGGCAAGCGUUAUCCGGAUUUACUGGGUGUAAAGGGAGCGUAGACGGCUUUGCAAGUCUGAAGUGAAAGCCCGGGGCUCAACCCCGGAACUGCUUUGGAAACUGUAGAGCUAGAGUGCAGGAGAGGUAAGUGGAAUUCCUAGUGUAGCGGUGAAAUGCGUAGAUAUUAGGAGGAACACCAGUGGCGAAGGCGGCUUACUGGACAGUAACUGACGUUGAGGCUCGAAGGCGUGGGGAGCAAACAGGAUUAGAUACCCUGGUA